UACGAAGGGGACUAGCGUUGUUCGGAAUCACUGGGCGUAAAGGGUGCGUAGGCGGGUCUUUUAAGUCAGGGGUGAAAUCCUGGAGCUCAACUCCAGAACUGCCUUUGAUACUGAAGAUCUUGAGUUCGGGAGAGGUGAGUGGAACUGCGAGUGUAGAGGUGAAAAUUCGUAGAUAUUCGCAAGAACACCAGUGGCGAAGGCGGCUCACUGGCCCGAUACUGACGCUGAGGCACGAAAGCGUGGGGAGCAAACAGGG
rnacentral:rRNA from 1 species